GACGAAUGCUGGCUGCGUGCUUAACACAUGCAAGUCGAACGGUGAAGGAGAGCUUGCUCUCCGGAUCAGUGGCGAACGGGUGAGUAACACGUGGGCAACCUGCCCCUCACUCUGGGAUAACGCCGGGAAACCGGCGCUAAUACCGGAUACGACCAGGCGCGACAUCUCGCCUGGUGGAAAGAAUUUCGGUGAGGGAUGGGCCCGCGGCCUAUCAGCUUGUUGGUGGGGUAACGGCCCACCAAGGCGACGACGGGUAGCCGGCCUGAGAGGGCGACCGGCCACACUGGGACUGAGACACGGCCCAGACUCCUACGGGAGGCAGCAGUGGGGAAUAUUGCGCAAUGGGCGAAAGCCUGACGCAGCGACGCAGCGUGAGGGACGACGGCCUUCGGGUUGUAAACCUCUUUCAGCGGGGACGAAGCGAAAGUGACGGUACCCGCAGAAGAAGCACCGGCUAACUACGUGCCAGCAGCCGCCGCAG
rnacentral:rRNA from 1 species